rnacentral:rRNA from 1 species
UACGAAGGGUGCAAACGUUGCUCGGAAUUAUUGGGCGUAAAGCGCACGUAGGCGGCUUAGCAAGUCGGAAGUGAAAUCCCUCGGCUUAACCAAGGAAGUGCUUUCGAAACUGCUGAGCUUGAGUACUUAAGAGGGUCGUGGAAUUCCCAGUGUAGAGGUGAAAUUCGUAGAUAUUGGGAAGAACACCGGUGGCGAAGGCGGCGACCUGGUCCGAUACUGACGCUGAGGCGCGAAAGCGUGGGGAGCAAACAGG